rnacentral:rRNA from 1 species
UACGUAGGGUGCGAGCGUUGUCCGGAAUUACUGGGCGUAAAGCGCACGUAGGCGGCUUUCUAAGUCGGGGGUGAAAUCCUGGAGCUCAACUCCAGAACUGCCUUCGAUACUGGAGAGCUCGAGUCCGGGAGAGGUGAGUGGAACUGCGAGUGUAGAGGUGAAAUUCGUAGAUAUUCGCAAGAACACCAGUGGCGAAGGCGGCUCACUGGCCCGGUACUGACGCUGAGGUGCGAAAGCGUGGGGAGCAAACAGG